GCCCGCGGGUGCGGUCGUGCCCACCUGUAGUCCUAGCUACUCAGGAGGCUGAGGCAGGAGGAUCACUUGAGUCCAGGAGUUCUAGGCUGCAGUGUGGUAUGCUGAUUGGGUGUCUGCACAAAGUUUGGCAUCAAUAUGGUGACCUCCCAGGAACAGGGGACCACCAGGUUGCCUAAGAAGGGAUAAACCGGCCCAGGUCGGAAACGGAGCAGGUCAAACUCCCGUGCUGAUCAUUAGUAGAGUGGUAUGUCAAGAGAUGAGGUAAUCCAUUUGUUAGCUUGCUUGAUUUAGCCCCAUCCUAAU
rnacentral:SRP_RNA from 1 species